AUUGAACGCUGGCGGCAGGCCUAACACAUGCAAGUCGAGCGGUAGCACAGGGAGCUUGCUCCUGGGUGACGAGCGGCGGACGGGUGAGUAAUGUCUGGGAAACUGCCUGAUGGAGGGGGAUAACUACUGGAAACGGUAGCUAAUACCGCAUAACGUCGCAAGACCAAAGAGGGGGACCUUCGGGCCUCUUGCCAUCAGAUGUGCCCAGAUGGGGUUAGCGAGUAGGUGGGGUAACGGCUCACCUAGGCGACGAUCCCUAGCUGGUCUGAGAGGAUGACCAGCCACACUGGAACUGAGACACGGUCCAGACUCCUACGGGAGGCAGCAGUGGGGAAUAUUGCACAAUGGGCGCAAGCCUGAUGCAGCCAUGCCGCGUGUAUGAAGAAGGCCUUCGGGUUGUAAAGUACUUUCAGCGGGGAGGAAGGUGUUGAGGUUAAUAACCUCAGCAAUUGACGUUACCCGCAGAAGAAGCACCGGCUAACUCCGUGCCAGCCGCCGCAGUAA
rnacentral:rRNA from 1 species